UACGUAGGGUGCAAGCGUUGUCCGGAAUUAUUGGGCGUAAAGAGCUCGUAGGCGGUCUGUCGCGUCGGAUGUGAAAACCCGAGGCUCAACCUCGGGCCUGCAGUGGGUACGGGCAGACUAGAGUGCGGUAGGGGAGAUUGGAAUUCCUGGUGUAGCGGUGGAAUGCGCAGAUAUCAGGAGGAACACCAAUGGCGAAGGCAGAUCUCUGGGCCGUAACUGACGCUGAGGAGCGAAAGCAUGGGGAGCGAACAGG
rnacentral:rRNA from 1 species